AACGAACGCUGGCGGCAGGCUUAACACAUGCAAGUCGAACGCAUCCUUCGGGGUGAGUGGCAGACGGGUGAGUAACGCGUGGGAACGUGCCCUUCAGUUCGGGAUAACCCAGGGAAACUUGGGCUAAUACCGGAUACGUGCGAGAGCAGAAAGAUUUAUUGCUGAAGGAUCGGCCCGCGUCUGAUUAGCUAGUUGGUGAGGUAAUGGCUCACCAAGGCGACGAUCAGUAGCUGGUCGGAGAGGAUGAUCAGCCACACUGGGACUGAGACACGGCCCAGACUCCUACGGGAGGCAGCAGUGGGGAAUAGUGGACAAUGGGCGCAAGCCUGAUCCAGCCAUGCCGCGUGAGUGAUGAAGGCCUUAGGGUUGUAAAGCUCUUUCGGCGGGGACGAUAAUGACGGUACCCGCAGAAGAAGCCCCGGCUAACUUCGUGCCAGCCGCCGCCGUAA
rnacentral:rRNA from 1 species